rnacentral:rRNA from 1 species
AUGGGGGACAACCAGGGGUUGGUAAAGGCGUUGGAGAAGCUAGCUGAGCUCAUCACUGUCAAGGCAGAGGGUGUGGCUUCCCCAGGUGCGCUUGUUCCUCAACCUGAGGUGAUACAGAAAAUAGAACUGAUGCCAAAUGAAAUCAAGAUGGAAGGGGUCACAAACUACCUAAGCUGGUCCAGAAGGGCAUUGCUAAUAUUGAGGACAAAGGGGCUGGAAGGCUAUGUCAGAGGGGAAGUAGAUGAACCGGCGAACAGGGCAAGUGAAGAGUGGAAGAAGUGGAGUGUCAUUGACUCUCUGGUGGUGGCAUGGCUGCUGAACUCCUUGACCCCAUCCAUUGCAGCAGCCGUGGAGACUCUUCCCCAUGCAGCAGAGGUAUGGAAAACCCUGGAAACAUUGUACUCCGGGAAAGGGAACAUAAUGCUUAUGGCGCAGAUUGAGGAUAGAGUAAAUGAGCUAAAACAAGGGGAUAAGUCGGUGAUGGAGUAUGUAGCAGAAUUGCAGCAUUUGUGGGCUGACUUAGACCACUAUGAUCCACUGGAGUUACCACAUUCAGAAUGUAUAGUUGCUACUAAGAAGUGGGUAGAGCGUAGGAGAGUGAUGAAAUUCUUGAAGGGACUUAGUUCAGAAUUUGAAGGAAGGCGUGCUGGGUUGUUUCAUCAGCCAAAGCUCCCCUCGCUUGAGGAGGCAGUUGCAGCAAUGGCACAGGAAGAGGUCAGGUUGAAGUUGACCGGGACUGGAGAAGCGAAUGCAUCUCGCUCAGCAUUUACUGUGUCUGAAUGGAAGGAGACAAGAGAGUGCUUCAACUGUGGAGAGAAAGGUCACAUAAGCAUCAAUUGCACAGCACAACACAGAGAAAUACGUGGUAGGGGAAGAGGUUACAGCCGAGGUGGAUACCGGGGAGUUAGAGGCAGAGGUAACUCGAGGGGUUCGAAUUAUUCCAGUGGCUUCAAAGCAAACUUGGCUAACUUGGCAACGCAAGAAGAAGGGACGUCAACAACCUCUCAAGGGGAGUCGAAGAGUAGAAGCCAGGAGGACAACACCUUCGGGAACUUUGCCCACUUUGUCUACACAGGGGAAGGUAACUUUGCAAAUGCAUCUAUAUCCACACAUGAUUUCCUUCCAGAUUGGAUAUUAGAUUCUGGAGCAUCCAAGCAUGUUGUGGGUACCUCAACUGAGUUUGAAUCAUAUACUCAGUACCCAAUUACACAUUGUGAAACAAUACAAACUGCUGAUGGCACCUCACAACCGAUUAAAGGAGUUGGAUCAGUUCAAUGUACAACCACUAUUAAAUUAUCUGAUGUAUUACAUGUUCCAGCUUUUCAUGUGAACUUGCUUUCUCUAAGUGCUUUGAUUGAUCAGAUAGAUUGCCGAAUAACUCUUGAUAAGAAAAUAUGUUUGAUUCAGGAGAGGAUGACUGGAAGGAAACUUGGGACAGGAACCAGGCAUAGUGGAUUGUGGUAUAUGGAUCGUGAUGUGUCUAGGUCUGGUGCUAGUCCUAUUUUGGUUGUACUAGUUGGAGUAAGUGAGACAAUGGCGAUGAUCCAUCACUGUCGCAUGGGGCAUAUGGCUUUUGAUAAGAUGAGUAAGAUGUUUCCUGAUGUAAUGCGUGGAGUAGACAAGAGUAAGCUUGUGUGUGAUGCAUGUGAAUAUGCAAAGCACACAAGAAUCUCAUAUUUGAGUAAGGGGCUAAGGAGUAUAUCCCCGUUUAUGCUGAUUCACUCUGAUGUGUGGACAUGUCCUGUUGUUUCUGUUAGUGGAAUGAAAUAUUUUGUGACAUUUAUAGACUGCCACACUCGCAUGACUUGGGUGUACCUCAUGCGACAUAAAGAUGAGGUAUUCCAAUGUUUUCAGGAGUUUUAUGCCUAUGUGCGAAACCAAUUCAAUGUGCAGGUGCAGGUGAUCAGAUCUGACAAUGGAACUGAAUAUGUAAACAAGCAAUUUGGAGGUUUCCUGUCAGCACAAGGCAUAAUGCACCAAACAUCAUGUCCAGAUACCCCUGCUCAGAAUGGUGUUGCAGAAAGGAAAAACCGACACAUUUUAGAAGUGGCUCGAUCACUUAUGUUCACCAUGAAUGUGCCAAAAUUCUUGUGGAGUGAAGCUGUCAUGACUGCAACGUUCCUGAUCAACCGGAUGCCUUCAAAAAUGCUUGGUAUGAAGUCCCCAUGUGAGAUGCUAUUUGGGGAGAACAAAUUCUCAGUUCCUCCGAAGUUAUUUGGGUGCACCUGCUUCGUUAGAGAUCACAGACCAGCAGUGGGAAAGCUGGAUCCACGAGCUGUAAAAUGCAUAUUUGUUGGAUAUCCUGCAGGGCAGCGAGGCUAUAAGUGUUGGAGUCCUGCUGAAAGGCGCACAUUUGUAAGUAUGGAUGUUACCUUUCGAGAAUCUGAGCCUUUCUAUGGUGAGAAGACAGAUCUCAGCACUUUAUUCGAAGAACUUGACCACUCACAAUCUAUGCAGGGUGGUCAAGAGGGGGGGUGCAACUUGAGUGGUGAGUGCAGCACCAAUGGCAACAAGGAGCAGCCAAUACCAACCCCGAAAAUAGUGGGAUCCUUCAUUCCAGUUGUAGUUGAUGGGGCUGAACAGCAGAGGUGGCAGAGACCAAAUGAGGAAAGGAAUCCUCAGGUGUAUACAAGAAGGAAGAGAGUUGUGGAGGAACAAGUGCAUGAGGAGCAGUCAAAAGAAACUAUGGAACAGGGGGAGCAGUCAAAAGAAACUCAAGCGACAGGAAGCUCAUCUGAAGUGGAGUCAUAUGAAAAUUCAAGUACUGAAGAAGCAUCACCUAACCUGCCAAUUGCUCUCAAGAAGGAAGUAGCAAGGAAAACUUUGAGCAAGGGCAAUCUUGAGCAUGACAUCAGUAAUUAUGUCACCUAUGAAGCCCUAUCACCUUCAUUUAGAGCAUUUGUCGCAUCACUUCAAGCCGUGAUUGUUCCUAAAGACUCGAAAGAAGCAAGACAAGAUCCAAAGUGGUGUGAAGCCAUGAGGGAAGAGUUGGAGGCCCUGAGAAAGAACAAAACAUGGGAGCUAGCGAAUCUUCCAUAUGGGAAGAAGGCAGUCAGUUGUAAGUGGAUCUUCACAGUGAAGCAGAAUCCUGAGGGUAAGGUUGAGCGUUACAAGGCAAGACUGGUAGCCAGAGGGUACAGCCAAACGUAUGGUAUUGAUUAUGACGAAACAUUCGCCCCAGUUGCAAAGAUGAAUACAGUGAGGAUUCUAAUCUCAUGUGCAGCUAACUUUGGAUGGCCACUACACCAACUUGAUGUAAAAAAUGCCUUUUUACAUGGAGAUCUACAAGAGGAAGUCUACAUGGAAAUUCCUCCUGGACUUUCUACACCUGGGACUGUUGGGAAGGUUUGUAGAUUGAGAAAAUCUCUCUAUGGUUUGAAGCAAUCGCCAAGGGCUUGGUUUGACCGGUUCAGGCAAGCAGUUUGCAGUAUGGAGUAUAAACAAUGCAAUGGAGAUCACACUGUUUUCUAUAAACAUUCCAAGCAACAGAUUACUAUUCUUGCAGUAUAUGUGGAUGACAUCAUAAUAACGGGAGACAAUGAAGAGGAGAUUGGAAGACUAAAGAAAUGCCUAGGCAAAGCAUUUGAAGUUAAGGAUCUUGGUCAGCUAAAAUAUUUCCUGGGUAUCGAAGUUGCAAGAUCAAAGAGGGGAAUAGCCCUGUCUCAGCGGAAGUAUACCUUAGAGCUCCUAAGUGAUAUGGGAAUGCUUGGAUGUAGAGCAGCCCCAACUCCCAUUGAACAAAAUCACAAAUUGACAGCACAGAUGGGUGAACAAGUUAACAAAGCAAAAUAUCAACAAUUGGUUGGCAAACUUCUGUACUUGUGUCACACUAGACCAGAUAUUACAUAUGCAGUAAGUGUAGUAAGUAGAUAUAUGCAUGACCCCAGAAGUGGACACCUUGAUGCAGUCUAUAGAAUCAUGAGGUAUCUAAAGGGCAGCCCUGGUAUGGGACUCUGGUUCAAGAGUAAUGGCCAUUUGAAUGUUGACGGUUAUAGCGAUGCUGAUUGGGCUAGCUGUCUUGAUGAUAGACGAUCAACCUCUAGCUAUUGUGUGUUUGUUGGUGGAAAUUUGGUAUCAUGGAGAAGCAAAAAACAACCGGUGGUGUCAAAAUCAACUGCAGAAGCUGAGUAUAGGGCAAUGUCUCAAGGGCUGAGUGAGAUGUUAUGGGUAAGAGGCCUUCUGCUUGAGCUGAAAGUGCUCAGACAAGAUCCUCUGAAUGUGUGGUGUGACAACAAAUCUGCAAUCAGCAUUGCUAAUAAUCCAGUGCAACAUGACAGAACAAAACAUGUGGAGAUAGACAGAUUCUUUAUCAAAGAGAAACUGGAUGCAGGAAUCAUCAAGAUAACUCAUGUGAGCUCUGGACAACAAGUCGCCGAUUGUCUGACAAAAGGUUUGGGAACCAGGGAGAGCAAUCUUGCUUGUGACAAGAUGGGCAUGAUAGAUAUCUAUCAUCCCUCUUGA